CCUACGGGAGGCUGCAGUGGGGAAUAUUGCACAAUGGGCGAAAGCCUGAUGCAGCAACGCCGCGUGAAGGAAGAAGGCUUUCGGCUCGUAAAACUCUAUCAACAGGGACGAAAGAAAGGACGAUACCUGCAUAAGAAGCCUCGGCUAACUACGGGCCAGCAGCCGCGGCAAUACGUAGGGGGCAAGCGUUAACCGGAAUUACUGGGUGUAACGGGUGAGUAGGCGGCAUGGUAAGCCAGAUGGGAAAGCCUUGGGCUUAACCCGAGGAUUGCAUUUGGAACUAUCAAGCUAGAGUACAGGAGAGGAAAGCGGAAUUCCUAGUGUAGCGGUGAAAUGCGUAGAUAUUAGGAAGAACACCAGUGGCGAAGGCGGCUUUCUGGACUGAAACUGACGCUGAGGCACGAAAGCGUGGGGAGCGAACAGGAUUAGAUACCCGGGUAGUC
rnacentral:rRNA from 1 species